AAGAAAACAGAGUUAAUCAUUUAAACCCUACGUGGCCUUGAAUGAAUCUAACACAAAUUUACAAAAUCUAAUACAGUCCUCACUAAGGUCUCUGCAACAUUCAUUCAUGCCAAAACUUCUCAUUUUUCAUCCACCAUGAAUCUUUCCACCACUUCUCUCGUCAAAAUCUCUCCUUUCUUUAUCAGAACCACCUAUUUGUCACCAAUUUCCAGAAGGGUUUCUGGAUGUCAUCCUUCUGGUGUUAGAUUUCCACUGACCAUCACCAAAUGUUCUAGAGCUGAUGUUCCUUUAGCAUCACAAGCUGCACAGACUUCUACUUCUUCUUCUUCUUCUUCUUCUUCUUCUUCUUCUCCCGUAAUUGCUUCAAAGAUACAGAGUUUGCUGGCUGUGGAGGAGGACAUAGAGAAGGUUAUUUAUAGAUGCCGGUUCUUGGCUAUUCUUGGGGUUUUUGGUUCCUUGAUUGGAUCAAUUCUGUGUUUUGUGAAGGGAUGUACUUAUGUUGUGUCAUCUUUCAUGGAAUACUUUGUGAAUCGUGGUAAAGUGAUCAUAUUGCUGGUAGAGGCCAUAGAUGUCUAUCUUUUAGGAACAGUUAUGCUGGUGUUUGGAAUGGGUCUCUAUGAGCUUUUUAUUAGCAAUCUUGACACUGCUAAACUGUUGUCAGGGAAAAGAGUACCUCAUAGAUCAAAUUUAUUUGGAUUAUUCACCUUAAAGGAACGGCCAAGAUGGUUAGAAAUAAAAACUGUGAAUGAGCUGAAAACUAAACUAGGCCAUGUCAUUGUGAUGCUGCUUCUGAUUGGUUUCUUUGAAAAAAGUAAGACAGCAGUUAUACACUCUCCCAUGGAUUUACUUUGCUUCUCAGCUUCUGUUCUCCUUUGCUCUGGUUGCCUCUACUUAUUAUCCAAGCUUAGUGACUCAAAAUGAAUUAACCUUUGAUCACACAUCCUUUUAGAAUAUCGUUGUGGGAAAUUGACAAUGAUCAUGUAUAUAUAUAUAUAUAUGAGUUAUGGACUGUUGUUAGAAGUAAAUGUGCCGGAAAUAUGUCACGAGAAAUGUGUGAGAGGAAAUAUGUGCACUAAGUGCAUUGAAUAAUUCCUCUAUAGCUUUUAUAGAUAGUAGCAUGGUAACUGAUAAUUAAUAGCUAAUAAUUGCUGUUAAUAGUAGAAGUCUCUCUGUUAAA